CUAGCUGUAAACGAUGGAUACUAGGCGUUGAGAGUAUCGACCCUCUCAGUGUCGUAGCUAACGCGUUAAGUAUCCCGCCUGGGGAGUACGCGCGCAAGCGUGAAACUCAAAGGAAUUGACGGGGGCCCGCACAAGCGGUGGAGUAUGUGGCUUAAUUCGAUGCAACGCGAAGAACCUUACCAGGGCUUGACAUGUCCGGAACCCUGCCCAAAGGCGGGGGUGCCUACGGGAACCGGAACACAGGUGGUGC
rnacentral:rRNA from 1 species